rnacentral:rRNA from 1 species
UACAGAGGUCUCAAGCGUUGUUCGGAUUCAUUGGGCGUAAAGGGUGUGUAGGUGGCGCCGUAAGUCGGGUGUGAAAUUUCGGAGCUUAACUCCGAAACUGCAUUCGAUACUGCGGUGCUUGAGGACUGGAGAGGAGACUGGAAUUCAUGGUGUAGCAGUGAAAUGCGUAGAUAUCGUGAGGAACACCAGUGGCGAAGGCGGCUCACUGGCCCGAUACUGACGCUGAGGCACGAAAGCGUGGGGAGCAAACAGG